rnacentral:rRNA from 1 species
UACGUAGGGGGCUAGCGUUGUCCGGAAUCAUUGGGCGUAAAGCGCGUGUAGGCGGCCCGGUAAGUCCGCUGUGAAAGUCGGGGGCUCAACCCUCGGAUGCCGGUGGAUACUGUCGGGCUUGAGUGCGGAAGGGGCGAGUGGAAUUCCAGGUGUAGCGGUGAAAUGCGUAGAUAUCUGGAGGAACACCGGUGGCGAAGGCGGCAUCCUGGACCGGCAUUGGCGCUGAGGAGCGAAAGCCAGGGGAGCAAACGGG